GUCUGAUUGUUUCCACCUGUGUCCAAUCACCUGCACCUAAAUACACAGUGUAUUUAAGCCCUGUGGCGUCAUUGUUCAGUCUUACCCGGUGUUGGAGCACGUCUCGGUUUUGGUUUAGAAUAAAGAGCACCUGUUUGAGUCCUCCCUGCAACCCGCACCAGCAGCCACCUGACAAACCACUAAAGGCUGGACAGAUGUCCUUCUUCAAUAAGGCCAAUCUCACAUCUGGAUUACUGCGCCACUGGGAUCAGCUGUUCUUAAGUUUAUUUCCAUGGCAAAUCCUGCUCCUGUUUUGAAGACAUCCUGCUUCUAGUCGGCUCCACGACGUAACGCGGGUGAAAAUGUCAUCUUCCCGGAGGGCUUCUACUCAGCCGCUGCAUUCCGGCGGGGGCUUAACUUUUGUAUUCGCUCUCAUCUCAUGGAGAAGAGACAGAAGGUGGGCUAUCCAGCGAAUCAGCAAGGAAGCCAAUCCCCCAGCCGAGAAGAGAGCGAAAGCAACAAGCAAGCUGCCAGGCAGAUGAUGCUCCAAUUGCCAAACACCUCCAGUAGCCAAGUGGUGCUCUUCCUCUUUCUAUCAGCGGACAAUGAAACCAACAAUUCUCUUCCUCCUCGUCUUCUUGGACCGGAGACGUUAAAACGUCUGGCUCGAGGGGGGGGCCGUCCCCUCAGCCCAAGCAGCCCUGUCCAUGCCCACGCAUGCUAAAACCCCCUGUGCUGUCCUCCCCGUGUGGCCGGAAUGAUUUUGGGGAGCAAUGACAGACGGACGGACGGACCCAGGAAAGAUGUUCUGUGGCCAGAGCAUGCAUUUGUGCUUUCACUUGAUCCAUGCAAAUCUGAUUUGCUGUGUUUAAUGCAAUCACCCGAGGCUAAAAGCAAAGACAGUACGAAAGAAUCGGCCACAUACAACAUCCGUAUGUGUGGGAGACGUCCCCUCGGCACAGAUUAUUCACAAAAGGGCCUGCGAGCGAGAGAUGUGAAUAACUUAUGACCCUGGCAAAAACCUGUGUACUGUCCAUGGGUGGACCGAUGGGC